GGACAGAACCUUUUAAGUCGCAUCACAAAGAGGAAUAUUCCUGACUGUAUGAUUUCUUCCAUUGCUAACUACUGCGCAGGACUCUGCACUGUCAGUUCUCUAAUGAUUGUGUUGUUUGAGGUCCGUGUUGUCAUAGAUGCAGAUGUUAUAUACCUGGCACCAGACUGGGCUUUCUGCAUAGCUUGUGUCUCCUUCUCUCUCAGCUUAGUGUUGGGCACACAAAACCUGCUAUGGGACAGGAUGUUCCACAAAAAAGUAAAACCAUCCCCAAAGGAAGAGCCAUCAACACCCAGUGACCCUUGAGUGUAGCCCACGGCCUAUGACACCUGUCACAGGUGUUCCCCAGUCAGGUGGGGCUUUGAAACCUGACUGGCCAAUGGGCGUUCUGUUUGGUGAUGUCACUUAACCAAGAGCCAUUUGAAAUAAGCCUGGAUUGCAGAAAAGAUGUCCACUUUCAUCUCUACAACAUCACUUUUGAGAAGCCUUCUUACCCAAGUGCCCAGCUGGAACCAUUAAAAUGAUCUCAUCCAUUACCAAGAUACCUUUUAUUCAGCAAUCUUUUCUGCCUAGGGUGGAAUAUCCUUCUUGCUUUCCAAGACUGCCCCAUUUCCCAACUUGCUUCUAAUUGUUGCUGCUGUUGUUUUU